AUGUUUAGGGCUGUGCACGACUGCUUAGUGCUGUGGAACAGUACUGUUAAGCUAGUCUUUUUGUUGGUAAAUUAAUAUCUUCUUGAGCUUCAGCCCAGCUUGGAGCUGUAAAAAUCCUCAGAAGAAUUCCUAAUGAAAACAGCGUUGUACUAUUGUGUGGGCUGGCUAUUUCCAGCUAGGCUGGGCUCAUGUCAUGUCUGCUUAGCAGAAGAUUGAACUACCCUUGAAUGUAAAACACUGUGGCCUAUAAACCUCUGAAAUAGCUGAACAGAUGAAGAAUCCUUAGGCUGUGAUCUUUGUGAACUUCAGGACAUCCUAUGCCUGCUACUUCCUCAAGGAGCAAGAAGAGCAGAGAAAUCUGAUUGCUGGGAAGAGUCCAACCUGCAGAAAGAAGGACCUUGCAUCGUGCAGAGGACGCACUUGUUGCCAAGAGAACUGAGCCUAAUUUUUGUUGAGGCAUAUAGACCUGUCUGCAAAUACUGCUGCCUGACAGUGGAAGACAGAGGCUAUCUACUGAGAUCUUCAUGAAACUAACUCCAUCUCUACGCAAAGCCCACCAUUUAAAGAAGCCCAUCUCUCUCUCCCAACAAGACUGAGAUGAACUGUAUGAAACUGUAAGUGGAGAAAAGUGUCUUCCAAGACAUAGCGUGCUGGAAGCCCAAGUCAGCUACCUU